GCCUAGGUGGCUCAGUAAGUUAAGCGUCCGACUUCAGCUCGGGUCAUGAUCUCACGGGUUCGUGGGUUCAAGCCCCACGUCGGGCU
rnacentral:tRNA from 1 species